UUCUGAAUUCUUUCCCAGAGGCAGUGACAAAAAUCAAACAUCCGAUGUGUUCUUUAACUUUCAGUAAGCUCAGCCUCCCUGCUUGUGUCACAUCUGUAAACAUACGUACAUGCGUGAUUGAAACUGUCUAUUGAAAGCAAUAUUACAUUAACAUUAUCAAUACUGAAUUAGAGAAAAUAUCUAUCAAUGUCACCAAUUCCACCUGUCUCUUGAUGUAUGACUUUUUACCUGACAGGCUAAAUAAAAAUAGAAAGUUUUUUUAAAAAAUAGAAGAGUUGCUAUGCAGGGACUUUUUUGGAAUUAAGUGCCCCAGAGAACCUAGAAAUGUGCUUUAAAACUUUUUGUUCCACCUGGCAGAUCCAAAAAAAAUUUGGAAGCUUUUAGUUGAAUUCCCUCAUUACUUGAAGUUGUUUUAUGAAAAUUGAAUAUAUAUAUCUGUUAGGUUACCAAGACUUAUGGUUAGCUAUCUUAAUGGCUAGUGAUAUAAGACCUUGUAACAAACCCUACCAAUGGAACUGACAGGAUUUUACCAGGGAGGAUAUUGCAGUACCUGUAAGAGGAAGGGAUACAAAUUGGCAUUUCAUACAUUUGUGAGAACAAUCGCCUUUAAUGUGUCUGUUUGGUUUUCAUAAUAUUGCAGGCCUCUGCUCUUGUAAGAAGUUAGCUGCAGAACCCACAUGUGAAUCCUUGUAGGACUCUGGAGAAGAUCAAAUGGGAGCUUAGAUGUGGAAGCUCUUUGGAAACCAAGAAACACUCUGCAAAUGAAAAGGGUAUCUUUUUUCCUUUUCUCCCUUUACCAUAAAUUUCAUGAUGGCACUUAACAGAGCCAGUCGUUUUGGUAUUUAAAAAAUGUUUGGUGAAAUAAUUAGUUAUUGGUUGAAUGAAUGAAUUUAUAAGUGAAUACAUGAAUUAAACAAAGGUAUGGAGUAGGAAAACACAUAAUAUGAGAAGAGAAUAAGGGAUUCUAUUUGGAAGCAUGC
rnacentral:sRNA from 1 species